GACGAACGCUGGCGGCGUGCCUAAUACAUGCAAGUUGAGCGCUGAAGGUUGGUACUUGUACCAACUGGAUGAGCAGCGAACGGGUGAGUAACGCGUGGGGAAUCUGCCUUUGAGCGGGGGACAACAUUUGGAAACGAAUGCUAAUACCGCAUAAAAACUUUAAACACAAGUUUUAAGUUUGAAAGAUGCAAUUGCAUCACUCAAAGAUGAUCCCGCGUUGUAUUAGCUAGUUGGUGAGGUAAAGGCUCACCAAGGCGAUGAUACAUAGCCGACCUGAGAGGGUGAUCGGCCACAUUGGGACUGAGGCACGGCCCAAACUCCUACGGGAGGCAGCAGUAGGGAAUCUUCGGCAAUGGACGAAAGUCUGACCGAGCAACGCCGCGUGAGUGAAGAAGGGUUUCGGAUCGUAAAACUCUGUUGGUAGAGAAGAACGUUGGUGAGAGUGGAAAGCUCAUCAAGUGACGGUAACUACCCAGAAAGGGACGGCUAACUACGUG
rnacentral:rRNA from 1 species